CCUACGGGGGGCAGCAGUAGGGAAUUUUCGUCAAUGGGCGCAAGCCUGAACGAGCAAUGCCGCGUGAACGAGGAAGGUCUUCGGAUCGUAAAGUUCUGUUGAAGGGGAAAAAGAGCGGAGAGAGGAAAUGCUUUCUGAUUGAUAUUACCCUUCGAGGAAGUCACGGCUAACUACGUGCCAGCAGCCGCGGUAAUACGUAGGUGGCGAGCGUUAUCCGGAAUGAUUGGGCGUAAAGGGUGCGUAGGCGGCCUGCUAAGUCUGGAGUGAAAGGUACCGGCUCAACCGGUACAGGCUCUGGAAACUGGCGGGCGAGAGAGCAGGAGGGGGCGGUGGAACUCCAUGUGUAGCGGUAAAAUGCGUAGAUAUCACGCAGAACUCCGAUUGCGAAGGCAGCUUACUAAGCCAUAACUGACACUGAAGCACGAAAGCGUGGGGAUCAAACAGGAUUAGAUACCCCAGUAGUC
rnacentral:rRNA from 1 species